UAGGGAAUCUUCGGCAAUGGGGGGAACCCUGACCGAGCAACGCCGCGUGAGUGAAGAAGGUUUUCGGAUCGUAAAGCUCUGUUGUUAAGGAAGAACGAGUGUGAGAAUGGAAAGUUCAUGCUGUGACGGUACCUAACCAGAAAGCCACGGCUAACUACGUGCCAGCAGCCGCGGUAAUACGUAGGUGGCAAGCGUUGUCCGGAAUUAUUGGGCGUAAAGCGCGCGCAGGUGGUUUAGAAAGUCUGAUGUGAAAGCCCACGGCUCAACCGUGGGGGUUCAUGGGAAACUAAUAAACUGGAGUGCAGGGGAGAAAGGUGGAAUUCCUAGUGUAGCGGUGAAAUGCGUAGGGAUUAGGAGGAACACCGGUGGCGAAAGCGGCUUUUUGGCCUGCAACUGACACUGAGGGGCGAAAGCGUGGGAGCAAACAGG
rnacentral:rRNA from 1 species